GUGUCAGCAGCCGCGGUAAGACAGAGGGUGCAAACGUUGUUCGGAAUUACUGGGCGUAAAGCGCGUGUAGGCGGCUUGGCAAGUCGGGUGUGAAAGCCCCGGGCUCAACCUGGGAAGUGCACUCGAAACUGCUUGGCUUGAGUACUGGAGAGGGAAGCGGAAUUCUCGGUGUAGAGGUGAAAUUCGUAGAUAUCGAGAGGAACACCGGUGGCGAAGGCGGCUUCCUGGACAGUUACUGACGCUGAGACGCGAAAGCGUGGGGAGCAAACAGGAUUAGAAACCCCCGUAGUCC
rnacentral:rRNA from 1 species